UACGGAGGAUCCGAGCGUUAUCCGGAUUUAUUGGGUUUAAAGGGUGCGUAGGUGGCCUGUUAAGUCAGGGGUGAAAGACGGUAGCUCAACUAUCGCAGUGCCCUUGAUACUGAUGGGCUUGAAUGAACUAGAGGUAGGCGGAAUGUGACAAGUAGCGGUGAAAUGCAUAGAUAUGUCACAGAACACCAAUUGCGAAGGCAGCUUACUAUGGUUUUAUUGACACUGAGGCACGAAAGCGUGGGGAUCAAGCAGG
rnacentral:rRNA from 1 species